rnacentral:rRNA from 1 species
GACGAACCGUGCGAACGUUGUUCGGAAUCACUGGGCUUAAAGGGCGCGUAGGCGGGCUGUCAAGUCUGGGGUGAAAUGCCGCGGCUCAACCGUGGAACUGCCUUAGAUACUGACGGCCUUGAGGAAGGUAGGGGCAUGCGGAACUGUAGGUGGAGCGGUGAAAUGCGUUGAUAUCUACAGGAACUCCGGUGGCGAAAGCGGCGUGCUGGACCUUUUCUGACGCUGAGGCGCGAAAGCUAGGGGAGCAAACAGG